rnacentral:rRNA from 1 species
AACGUAGGAGACAAACGUUAUCCGGAGUUACUGGGCGUAAAGGGCGUGUAGGUGGUUUUGUAAGUCUGGCGUGAAAUUUUUCGGCUUAACCGGGAAAGGUCGUCGGAUACUGCAAGGCUAGAGGACGGUAGAGGCGUGUGGAAUUCCUGGUGUAGCGGUGAAAUGCGCAGAUAUCAGGAGGAACACCAGCGGCGAAGGCGGUUCUCUGGGACGGUGACUGACGCUGAGACGCGAAAGCGUGGGGAGCGAACAGG